rnacentral:rRNA from 1 species
UACGUAGGUGGCAAGCGUUAUCCGGAUUUACUGGGUGUAAAGGGCAUGUAGGCGGGACUGCAAGUCAGAUGUGAAACCCAUGGGCUCAACCCAUGGCCUGCAUUUGAAACUGUAGUUCUUGAGUGAUGGAGAGGCAGGCGGAAUUCCGUGUGUAGCGGUGAAAUGCGUAGAUAUACGGAGGAACACCAGUGGCGAAGGCGGCCUGCUGGACAUUAGCUGACGCUGAGGCGCGAAAGCGUGGGGAGCAAACAGG